CGGCGUGACUACUUUCCGACGUUGGAUAUCGCGUAACAGACUUUUGUCACCUCUCCGAAAGCAGUCGUUUGAGAAUUCCCAUCGAUCAGGGGUUAGCGGACAUCCCGAUUUCCCGGUGAAUCAAAUGAAGUAAGAGUACGAAUAUAUGAGAUCGAAAUCGAAGCUAGGAGCUCUUGUAUCAAGGCCCGAACGGGGUACUCGCCACCGGGCCUGAUAAGACAACACUCCUCGAAUCCAGAACGAGCUCCAAGACCUCGGAAAGCUUGACAAACAGUUGCACACGACUAACAGAGGACCGUGAAAUCCGCACCCAACCGGAUAUCACGGCGCAGAUCUCGCCCGAUGUCGGUAGCGGAUAAGUAAUUGAUGAGAAAGAAGGAUUUUUUUACAUUUUUUAGAAUUGUAUUAGGGGUGAAACUUUCCUACUAUAUAAAGUGGAAGCUUUUUAUUCAAUAGGACACAUUGUAAGACGCAGACCAAGAAAUACAAGUUCAUUUUUCUGCUUUCUA